CCCAAGGCGGCAACGGGUCCGCAGGACGCGCUCACCGAGGUUCAGCGGCACGUUUGUGGGCGCGCAGGAGAGCCCAGGACAGCCGGAGCCAAGGGCAGGCGGUGGAGCUCAGGGGUGGAACGAAGGCGAAGCCCAGGAUGGGACAGACGGCGGAGCCCAGGAUGGGACGGACGGCGGAGCCCAGGACAGGCGGAGCCAAGGGCAGGCGGCGGAGCCCAGGACAGGACAGGCGGCGGAGCCCGGCAGGCCGCCCCGGCCCAGCCCCUAGCGCCGCAGUCUAGACCCGGCGCCUCGCUCCUCUGAUUCUCAGACGCCUGAGGACUCGCUGUGGUCGUGUUCGGAGGCCGUCAGCUGAGACGGCGCCAGUUUUGGCUCAACUGAAAAGUAAACACCCCAGCGAGAAUCUCCCAAAUGCAGGGACUUGGGAAACUGUGCAAGAUGCCUUGCUAAGUGAACAGAGCCAUGGGAACAACUCUAUCAUAAAAUACUGAGGUGGGUUAUUUCUUAACGACAUAUAGAUAAAUUCCUGAAGGUACAUUGAGAAUUUAUGGAAUAGUGCCCAAGUAAAUGUUUACAGAAGAUAUAGAUAUCUGUAGGGUAGAGGAAAGUUAAAUGUUCAUUUUAAUCCUUCUAGACUCUACAACUUUUGUUAAUUAAAAUAUUAUUUAAAAAAUGUCCCCUGGCACCCCACUGGCCUGGCAUACCCUGCCUCCCACAGGACCCCAUGGUGGCAAGGAGCGCAACUAGAAACACUGGUGUAUUAGGUGUGGACCGCAUGUGCCACAAAACUAAGUGUGCAGAAUUAUUACUUUCUUCAACUUGAAUGAGCACCAUUUAAUUUUUUAUUUCGAU
rnacentral:lncRNA from 1 species